CACUUUUGCGCAGUGGUGGCGCGGGUGAACUCUAGCUUCACCUUUCCCAGGAAGUGGUCUUUGAACUGGUUCAUCCCGGCGGGGGUGA
rnacentral:tRNA from 1 species